CCGAGUGGUUCCGCUGCUAGUCAUCCCCUAGACUCUCCUACCGGGGGGUGUGACCAUGACUCUAUGCCUGGUCUGAGGAUGCCCUCCGUCGUCAUUCCUUAUAACCUGUUACCCGCCUUCGGACUAGGUCGGUACGGCGCACGUCCUUCUGCCGGGAUGCCCAACAUUUGACGAAAACAUUCCCUUAUUAUUCCGCCUGCUCGAGGCAGCUACUUCCAUGGAAUGCUUAUUCGUAGCCGAUUGAGGCACGGUCGUCGGCGCCAUUAUGCCUCCUACGUUCGCAAUAGGCCUAAAUAACCCAAAUUUCCCACGCAUCCGCCGGACAAUUCAGUCCCCACUUUCCAACGCCGAAUUGGCGUCUUAACGGAAACUAUGACCGUCCGAACUUAUUUCAACUCCAUCCGCCUUACACCGUUCAUCGCCACUUUACGUAUCUCUACGGUGUCUUGUGGCUAACGCUUCCGUCGAAUGAUUCGAAACUAACUGCGACUCCGUGCUUUCGCACCCCUAGUUUGUCCUAAUCUAUGGGACCAUCAGGUGCGUCAUUUGCUACUCUUGAUCGACAACCGCUAUCUUACAGUCGCCGUGUCGCUUUCGCAAUUCAGAGGUG
rnacentral:rRNA from 1 species